GAAAAUUGGUACCGUUAAUUUUAUUACUACCACUGGGUCGAUGCCUCUGCUGGUGGAUUAUUAGUCCCGAGGGUAUCACAAGCUCAGUAGCCAGUACUUCGGUACUGGCAUGAAAAUACGGAUUUUUUUGUGCUAUUAAAAUUUGCUGUUACAAAACGAUAGAAAUUAUUAUAAAUUAAGGAAUGUAUCUCCCUCAUGCAAAGCUCUGAUUCCUUCCACGGAUUUGGCUAUACUUUUUGGAUCUUUUGGAUUAUAGCUCUUCAUCUUUUACAUAAGCUUUGGAUUUCAAAUAUUUUGGCCACGAAUGGUACCGUUAAUUUUAUUACCCGGAUUUUGUUUCUCUAAAUUGAUUUAUGACUUUUGAACAGCGAUAUACUAUUGCUGUCUUAAUUUGACUAUGUCAGGAGAGUGAAUAAACUUUUUCAGAAGUCAUUAAUGGUAAGUUAUCUCCAAUACCAUUUAAAGUUGUGAUUGCUUUGCUCUGUAUUCUGCCCCACUGUUAAUCUCAUUAAUGUUUUUAAAACUGCUAGUUGGUCUGCAUGAAGCAGUUUGUAUUCAUAGCAAUAAAAUACACACAUACCCACUAAAUUAUUGCGUUGCGUUGUGUAUUUUGAUCAUAAGCUUAACUAAGGUGUUAAAGAUAGAACUACGUCUGCCAUUAUAAGUUUCUAUUCAAUAUUGGUCUAUAUGAAGCGGUUUGUAUUCAUAGCAAUAAAAUAGAGGGGGGGCAAAGGGGGUCCCCAUAACAGCAAAACAGUGAAUUGAUUUGGUGAAAAACAGAUAACAAGGAAUUGAAAAGGGACAAUAACAGAUAACAGUAAAUGAAAUAUGAAAAUAAAUCUGUCCAGGACCAAUCCAGUAGAUGACUCGUAGAUCUUAGUAUAUAACUUGUGGUAUGGACCUAGAAAAUUGUAAUUUGUGUAAACAAGACGUUUCGGCCGUUGAGGCAGUUCUGCUUUGGUUGAUUUUUUUCCGUAACUUGUACAAUAAGUUAUAGUAUGGAUGUUGAAUUUUUCUGAACGAAAUUACUAGUUUCUGUUUUUGGUAUACGGAUAUUUUUAAUCUAAGGCAUUUGAGGGAUCAAUUUUUAAUGAUUUAGUUUUUUUUUUUAUUUAAUUUUUGAAAGUAGUGCAGCCAGUGACAC
rnacentral:lncRNA from 1 species